rnacentral:misc_RNA from 1 species
AAGUCGUAACAAGGUUUCCGUAGGUGAACCUGCGGAAGGAUCAUUAGCAUUUCGGCUUCGUGCCGCUGUCUUUGGUGAUUUCUCACCUUCAAAAGUCUUUUGACUUAGCUGAUCUCUGAUGCACAAAUAGCAAUAUUUCGCUCAGAGGUCGUCACAACAAGUAACCCGGGGUACUUUGGAGUGGAGGAACACUUCUGUGUGCCUUUGCUUUAGAGCCCUUCUAAUAAUCCCUUUAUUUUUUACCAUUUUACCCCUUUAAACUAAUAUGACUGAUAUGACAUGAUUUAAUGUCACAAUUAAAUCUAAAAACAACUCUUAACAAUGGAUAUCUAGGUUCUG